GGACGCGGGAUGGGGAGGGGGGAAUGGGAGUUACGGCGCCCCUAUUGGCCUUGGGGAGGUCACACCUGCCGCCCGGGAAGAACCAGGCCGCCAACUGAGCACCAACAGCGGGUUCGCACCCCAGCAAGGGGGGACGAUUUGGGAAGGGGUAUACCAAAUGGGGUUAUUAGCGUAACAUUGUUAUGGAAAUGAAUGUUUGCACUGUUACUUCUUGUCAAACCACAAAACUAAAUAAAG